rnacentral:rRNA from 1 species
UGAGCAAUCUGCCCUUCUCUUCGGAAUAAGCGUUGGAAACGACGUCUAAUGCCGAAUACGACCUCCUUUCGCAUGAUCGGAGGUGGAAAGCUCCGGCGGAGAAGGAUGAGCUCGCGGCCUAUCAGCUAGUUGGUGUGGGUAAUGGCCCACCAAGGCGGCGACGGGUAGCCGGCCUGAGAGGGUGACCGGCCACACUGGGACUGAGACACGGCCCAGACCUCCGUACGGGAGGNAGCG